UACGAAGGUCCCAAGCGUUAUCCGGAUUUAUUGGGUUUAAAGGGUGCGUAGGCGGGCCUAUAAGUCAGUGGUGAAAGCCCUCAGCUUAACUGAGGAACUGCCAUUGAUACUGUAGGUCUUGAGUACAGAUGAUGUUGGCGGAAUAUGACAUGUAGCGGUGAAAUGCAUAGAUAUGUCAUAGAACACCGAUUGCGAAGGCAGCUGACAAAACUGUAACUGACGCUGAGGCACGAAAGUGUGGGGAUCAAACAGG
rnacentral:rRNA from 1 species